rnacentral:rRNA from 1 species
GUGGGGAAUAUUGGACAAUGGGCGCAAGCCUGAUCCAGCAAUGCCGCGUGGAUGAAGAAGGUUUUCGGAUUGUAAAGUCCUUUCGGCGGGGACGAUGAUGACGGUACCCGCAGAAGAAGCCCCGGCUAACUUCGUGCCAGCAGCCGCGGUAAUACGAAGGGGGCUAGCGUUGCUCGGAAUGACUGGGCGUAAAGGGCGCGUAGGCGGUUCUGACAGUCAGGCGUGAAAGUCCUGGGCUCAACCUGGGGUGGUCGCUUGAUACGUUGGGGCUAGAGUGGGGAAGAGGGUCGUGGAAUUCCCAGUGUAGAGGUGAAAUUCGUAGAUAUUGGGAAGAACACCGGUGGCGAAGGCGGCGACCUGGUCCUUGACUGACGCUGAGGCGCGAAAGCGUGGGGAGCAAACAGG